AUGGAGGCGAGGGUUGCAGCAGGGGUGCCCGCUGACGAGGAGUCCGGCCUCCUCCCCCGCGCGCGCCCGCCGCCGGCAGCAGCCGCCGGACGGAGGCCUUCCUCCUCCUCCGCGGCGGCCCCGCGCCGCGCGCCCCCGCCGGCGGUCUGGGCGACGGUGGACGGGCCCCUGGGGAUGCCGCUGGAGGACGCGGAGGGCCACGCGCGGCGCUUCUUCCUCUGGGGCUUCGCGUGCCUCCCCUUCCUCUGGGCCAUCAACUGCUGCUACUUCUGGCCCGUCCUCCGCGCCCCCGCCGCCUCCUCGCCCCCCGCCUUCGCCCCCAUCCGACCCUAUGUUGUGCGAUCCGCGGUCGGCUUCACCAUCUUCGCAGUGGUUCUCCUCACCUGGGCCACGACUUUCAUCGUGGGAGGCGAGCGACUGUUCGGCCCGGUGUGGAAGGAUCUCGUGAUGUACAACGUCGCGGAUAAGCUCGGUCUCACCGGAUUCAUGGGGUAG
rnacentral:rRNA from 1 species